rnacentral:rRNA from 1 species
UACGGAGGGUGCAAGCGUUAUCCGGAUUCACUGGGUUUAAAGGGUGCGUAGGCGGACAGGAAAGUCCGUGGUGAAAUCCUGCAGCUUAACUGCAGAACUGCCGUGGAUACUCUCUGUCUUGAAUAUCGUGGAGGUGAGCGGAAUAUGUCAUGUAGCGGUGAAAUGCAUAGAGAUGACAUAGAACACCGAUUGCGAAGGCAGCUCACUACGCGAAGAUUGACGCUGAGGCACGAAAGCGUGGGGAUCAAACAGGG